AGAAAGUGUACCUAGGGUUCCACACCCGGAAAGGGUGGUUCGGUCCGAGCGGUACAGGCCCGGAGGAGUUCUUUUCCGGGUUACACCGGCAGGGAGAAAAGCCCAGGCGGU
rnacentral:sRNA from 2 species